GUUCAGCAAAGAGCAGAAGUAAACCCUUCCAGAAUGUUGUUCUGUUGCUUUUUGCUUCAAGAAGAUGAAGCAAGCUACAAGAAUUUGCAUGCCAUGGUGACAGUGAAGUGCGCUAGACCAGUCACAGUCCGGAAGCCGGUACCGUCUGACAUUUUCUAAUUAAUCUGACCAGGGAUAUUAGUACACACCUCUGGAGCAGUUGGAAUUUGAAGCUGGGUCUUCCACUCCAGAGCCAUGUUCAAAUUCUGUACCACCAAGUGACAGUUUACUGUUUGGCAAUUUCGAAACAGAUCCUUCCGGUGAAGCAGAUCUCUUGAGAGUAGAGCAGUGUGUUAUACAAUUGAAAAGAACAGAGAGCUGAAGACAAGAAAGUCAAGAAAUUUUGGAUUGGACAAGACCCAUUGCUGUUGUUUCAGUAUUUCCAGAGCCCAGCAGACUGUGGUUAAAGGGGUCAGAGAAGUGAGACUCUGGGGAUUCUGUGCCAUCAGGACUGUCAUGUCACACGUGAGAGAGAGUUCAUAGACAUGCACGUUGUCUGUGGUAACCCUGUCCUGGACUUUGGAUGCAAUGUAACUGCUGUUGAAUGUGAAUCAAGGGCUGAAAUAAUUGAGCACAAAAUGAAAAAUCUGACAUUGCAGAGUCCGAGUUGGAAAGUCUGUGUGAUGAACUUAGAAUCCCUACAGUGUGGAAAGGCCAUUAGGUUCAACAAGUCCACACCAACUCUCCGAAGAGUAACCCCCAGACUCAUUUCCCUACCCUAUUACUCUACAUUUACCCCUAACUAAUGCACCUAAUCUACACAUCCCUGAACACUACGGGCAAUUUAACAUGACUAGUUCACCUAAUCUGCACAUCUUUGGAUUGUGAGAGGAAACCAGAUCACCCCGGAGAAAACCCACGCAGACACGGGAAGAAUGUGCGAACUCCACACAGACAGUCACCUGCAGCUGGAAUCGAAUCUGGCGCUAAGGCAGCAGUGCUAACCAUUGAGCCAUCAUGUGCCCAAUUCACCUGAUUGCAGGUGAUAUCAUGCUCGGCAGGACGUAAAUAUGAACACUGGUACCCAUAAGAGGCAUAUGUUUGUAUCAACUACUUUUAUUUGAAAUGUAUUUUGUUGAUUAAUCAUUGUUUGAAUUAUUUGAUUUUGAUUACCUAAAAUUUGAUUUGUUAUGGUAAAAGUUUCAAAAGUGA